GACCGGAAACAGCGUAAUCUCAGCGCCCGCUGGCCGGCACCUCCCCGGGCGGCGCAGCAGCCUCCCCAGGCACCAGGGCACGGAGCUGCGCGGCGCACCGACCCUGGGCGCCCUGCCCCCGUGCACCGGCGGAUGGAGCCAGGGAAGGCAGGGGGCUGCCCGCCCGCGCCGGGCAGGGGACCCGAGUGAGCUCCCGGGCCCCGAGGGGAUGCCCCGGCCUCUGCAGAGCGCACCAGACUUGUGCUGACCCGCUGCGCCGGGAGCGCCCUGAAAUCCCCAGCAGGGUCUGGCCCAGCUACCCCGCGCGGCCCCUGCCUGAGUCCUGCCUGGGCCAGGCAGUCCCAGCGGCUGGGCAGCUCCGGUCAAAACACGAGCAUUUCCUUCGUCAACCCGACAGUCAGCUAAACCACAUUCGGGACAGGAGGAAGCGCCGCUUAACCGGUUGCAACGGAAUAUUAUCUGCUGCCAGGGGCACCAGCCCUGCAGAUUUCACAACUCCAAACUGGCAACAGGGUUGGGCCGCCCUGCCCUACACAUCUACUUUCCUGUCUCAGGAUUACUUUGGAGCUGGAAUUUUAUGCAUGACACCCUAGUCAAAUGCAGUUUAAGAAAAAGAAACUAACUGGCAAAAGGAAAGAUAGCAGCUGAAGAGAAAAUGGCUUCUUUCAUGGAGUGAUCCCUGCUGUCUCUCUUUAAUAGACAAACAAGAUAAUAACAAGACUUUCCCACUGCAGUGGGUUUUCAGGAGAAGGCAAUUUAAGUUCAGAAAAGUUGUUUAUUUUUAAAGAUGGUGCUCCCCUGUCUGUGUUCCUUAUAAUCCCAUAGGAAAUCAUUGCUGAAGCUGCCAGCCACAGCAGUUUAAGAAGAGUAAUUAAUAGCAGAGGAUUUUCAAAAAGGCAAAUUCUGCCUCUGGAAUCCACAGCCCGUGGGUUCCCAUUGUUGUGGUAAUUGACACAAGGGGGUGAGAUAAUCGCAUACAUUGUGAUCCCUGCCUGCUUUGCUGCCAUCUGCCAUUGACUUCAGUUGGAGUGGGAUCAGACCCAAAUAUGUGCAUUGUUAUUAUUAUGGCAGUAGUGUUCUUGGCAGCGAUACAACACACAGAUAAAGGCAGGGGCCCUUCCCCACCAAGCUUACACUCUAAAAGAAAAGCCAGGCAAGCAUUCACUGGGAGACUCCAAAGAUGGUUAGAGCCAAUAAUGAUUUUUUAAAUAAAUUGGGGUGAUAGAUAAUGAUGGUGUAAUAUGUACCUUUGGAUCCUUGGGCCCCUCCAUGUUUAUGAUUGUGAAAUCUAUAGCUCAAAAAAAAAAAAAAAGGUGGAAUCAUCCAGAAUGGGUGGAAUUAAUAAAUGUUUGAAUUCCUUGUAUUCUACCAUCUUUCCCAUGCAGAGCUGAAUUCAGUGUUAUGCAUGUACAUUUUUCCCAGAAGUUACCACUGACUGUUGAUAGUGCAUGAGUCCAUUCAGAUCUUCAGCCCGUAGGAAGCCAUCGAUUUUAUUUAAAUACAUACUCCCACUACCAAGGAUGCUUAGAUCAUGUCCUCUGGGUAAUUCUUUAACUUCAAACAAUGUAUUGUGUUAUCAGGCACAUUUAUCACAUUUAGAGUCUCAGAAACACUUUUCAUUGUUAGAACCUUUGCUAAACAUAUUUCUCUUUGGCUUUCUGUUUUUUUCCCCCCAAUUCAGAUUAUCCUGAGUAGUUUCUAGGUCCAGAGAAACCUGCAGUAAAGCCCCAGUUCAGCAAGAUACUUAAGCACCUGCAUAGUUUUAAGCAGGACUACUCUCAUUAAAAGCAAGUUAAACAGGUGCUUUAAUACCUUGCUGAAUUAGAGCCUAAGACUCACUUCCAAGAGGCAACCCACUGACGUUUUUUUUCCAUUUCUAAUUGUUCAUGGUGAAUUAAGGCUGGAAUUACACCAUCUUUAGCCAUACUUAAGGCCAAGACAGUUGAUUUGUUCUGUCUUUGUUCAGCACCUAACACAACUGGUUCCUCGUCUGUGAGUGGGGUCCUCGUUGCUACUACAAGUAACAAAAAAUAAUUCUAAUAACAUGUUCAAUGGCACCAUUGGUUAGGCACCUUAUUCCCUUGGGUGUCUUUGACAACCCCAGCCUUUGUGCUACCAGAUGCCAAUCCUGGAGACUGAAGCCCUCUUUUUACUCAGAGAACAGAUACCAUGUGGGCAGUGGUGAUGAAAGCAGCCCUUCUCAAAUGCCCUGCAGGACCAUGGCUAAAGGUGAUGGGGCGGUUCAUGCUCCAUGCCCAUUCUAAUCUUUAGCCUCUCUGCAUUGAGACUGCCAAUAAAGGUGCCAGUGAAUGCCAGCUAUGUUGGUGAUUCAUGCAGUGCGGACAUCUGUCCUCUAAGCACUCCUCUAAGACUUGCCAGCUUGUCUCACAUAGGUCAAGAAGCAGCAAUAACACUCAGUUGCUACUAACUUGGGCUGGAUUUGAUCUGGUGACCUAGCCCAGUGGCUCUCGAUUUUUUUCCAUAGCAGAACCACCCUGGGACUCCCCCUCCCAUCUAGGUGGUGGUCAUCCCUGCAAGCUAGUAAUAUAGGCAAGGCAGGGUGGUCUUGACCCUCUGACACUUGUUUGUGACCUCCCUGAGGGUCCUGUUUCCUACGCUGAGAACCUCUGACCAUUGUCAGUCCUCUGAGCAAUGCAGUUUCCCCCCGUCCUCCACCUUAGGCAACCACUUUAAAGAAUCUCUAAAGUUUGUAAUACAUCUGAGUCCAACAUUUAGUCCAAGACCACUUCUCCUAGACCAAUGAUUUUUGCUGUGUGCUUGCUCAAGGUGGGUUUCAUUAUAUCCUAGGGUUAAGAUCUUAGUCUAAGAAUAACUGGCAUGAUUUGCGGAUGCUUUUAGCAGGCACCAAAAUAGUAUUUAAAAAAAAUAAUUGCAAACCAAACAGCAGACACAGGAUGAUUGGCUAAAAGAGCAACACAGCUGCUUAGUGGAAGGAAAAGUACAAUAAUAAAAGCCUGGAAAACACAGUUAUGGUAUCUACUACCUGUUCAAUUCCCAAAACGCUCAAUACAAUCUCUGCAACUACAGGGAUAUAUGGGUGAAAUUCCUGUGGCGAGGGAAGGAAAGUCAUAACGAUAUACUCAGCAAACCACAGAGAAAUAUAGGAAGGAGGGGAAAUACUUUCCUUGGCAAGGAAGCUGCCAACUGUUUGGAGUCAAUGGUAGUUAGGUGCCUAAAUAUCUUUGAGGAUCUGGGCUGUAGAUUUCUCCUGCAAGAGAAAUGGGAAGGGCUGCCCCUCUCCUAGCUGUGCCUAACCAGAGAAGUGGCUUGAGUGGACUAAAAUUCAGGUGUCUAAUUCCUUCACUCUCUAGUGCUGCAGGUUCAAACUCUGAGUAGGAGCAGCUCAGAUCUUCAACCAUUUCUUCUGAAGGAGAUGAAUUCACCUGUGGGGUCCUUUAGCUGAGACUUUAAAAAGUGACCUCUUUGCUCUUUAGGGGCAUCAAAGACUCAAGUAGAGGAUUGCCCACAUGUCCUUUUAUCAAUAUUCCUCUCCCAACUCUCCUUAUUGUUUUAUAGAUGGCUGCUCUCCACUCCAGAGAUGGUUGCAUUUCCAUGGGACCAUUCUAGUUUGAGAAGUGCUUUAGAGUAAAAAAAAAAAAAAAAGUGCUGGAUAAGUGUGAAUUCAUUAUUUGUGGCUGCCAGGCCAUAUUUUAUAUUGAAAAUGGGUUAGAUGUGGCAUUAAGCCUUGACAGCGAGACAAUCCCAACUCAGACAUUAAUGAGAUGGAACCUAUAAGGGAUAAUAUUUUUCCUUUGUUUACUGGAUAAUUUGUCCUCCUUUCCCUAACUAUUCUGACACGCUCCAUAAUUCACUGUUUCCAAGUCUAUCAUAGCUUUAUGUGCCUUUGAUGCAAAGGGGCUGGGCAGAGAAAGUCCACUGCAUAUAUACCUUGGGCCAUCCGUCUCUUUUAGAACCUGUUUGUGUGCCACCUUCUUGCUUUCUCAAUACAGGCAAUCCCUUCUGGUCUGCCCUGAACUAAGCAAGGUGGAAUCUCCUCCUUUGUAACCUUUCUCCUCAAAUAAACAUGUUUCCUCUGAUAUCUGA